rnacentral:lncRNA from 1 species
UUUUUUUUUUUUUUGGACUGCGCCCACAGCACAUGGACGUUCCCAAGCCAAGGAUCGAAUCCAAGCCUCAGCUGUACCUAAGCCACAGCUGUAGCAAUGCUGGAUCCUUAACCCACUGUGCCACAGUGGGACCUCCUAGAGAAAGCUAUUUUUUAAUCUCUUACAUGUGACACUUGGUAUGAUAAAAAUGUAAAUACUGUAAUGUAAAGUGCAGUUACCAAAACUCAACAAGAGAGUAGUGAACCUACAUCUACAGGGGCAGCCUGGUUUCUCAUCCUCAAAGUCCUAUUCAAAUAGCUUUACUCUAAACAUCAGAGAAUAUGCAUUUUUAUUUUCAGAAUUAAGUGCAUCCAAGAAAUAAAACUUUUCAUUGAUGGGAAACUGACAAACGUACUGCCUAAAACCACAUGGUACCGUAUUUCCAACUGAGUUUUCUUGAUCCAAAAUAUCCUGACAGCCAAAUUUCAAAACUAAAAAACAAUUUUAGGGAUGGAAACUUAGAUAUAGUAAAUAGAGCUAGUUAUUAUUCUCCUUGAAUGAACUGGUUAGACUUUGUGUAUUUUUGUAGAAGUAACCCCGUGACAAGCUCAUUCAAUUAAGUUCCUCUCUGCUGCCAGGUUAAGAACCCAAGUCUUCAAACAAGGUUCUUCCCCUCCACAUCAAGAGAGAUUUUAAACAAGUCAUGAAAAUUAAUGCUCAGGAAAAAGCUCAAGAGUAUCAACAAAUGUCCACUGCUCUCCAAAUCCUAACUCAACAGAAGCCACCUUUACCUGUCCUGCCAUCUAAGAACAGGAGACCUUAUUGUCAUUAAUUAACAUUGCCCCUAACCAAUAAUACAUGUAACAUACAGGAAAUAACCCCACAUCGUCAUAGUACUGAGUAGACUAUGAUUUAUGCAUAAAUGUUAAUGAAUGAUAAAAUGUAGCAUAAUAGCAAUUAAGUAAUUCAGCUAGACAGUAAAAUGCCAACUUGCAUGCAUAAUAAGUUACUCGGUUUUUUAAAAAUAUUCCAAUACCGGAGUUCCCGUCGUGGCGCAGUGGUUAACGAAUCCGACUAAGAACCAUGAGGUUGCGGGUUCGAUCCCUGCCCUUGCUCAGUAGGUUAACGAUCUGGCAUUGCCGUGAACUGUGGUGUAGGUCGCAGAUGCGGCUCGGAUCCCACGUUGCUGUGGCUCUGGUGUAGGCCGGUGGCUACGGCUCCGGUUCGACCCCUAGNCCCAUUGCUAGUUUCAGUAAAUUUGCUCUUAUGAUAGAUCAAAUAGAGAUAUGACAGAGAUAGUGCAGAUGUUCCUAUAAACAGGAAUAUGAAAAUGCCUAUCAAAAGCAGUAAUCCCAAUCUAACAAUACGACUUUCUGUAUCUCUCAAUUAUCUCUCCGAUGUAUUUUUUUUAAAAUGUGAAACAGAGAAAAAGGCUGUUUGUGCAAAAGUGUUCAUCUUAAGUUUUAAAAAAACAAACUUUUCUGGCUUGAAAAUUCCAUACAGGAAAAUUCAGCAUGUUUUUUUAUCCUCAAGAUGCUCAGCUUUUUGUCUUUUCUUUCAACUGGACCAUAAAUUCCUUGAGGGCAGCAAUUGCAUCUUGUAUCUCUCAUCCCGUAUAGUGCUGUUUAGUACUCAUUACUAGCCAAGUAAAAGUCAAAUCAUACGGCCAGUGAGCAACUGGUGAUACGUUUUCUUCUUAAGUGGUCGGAUUAUGAAACAGAAGGGUAAUUCUACAUGUCUCUCCAAAUACCCAUAGGGGACUCUGACUUCGUAAUGUAGAUCUUUACAGCAGAUGAACUCCUGGCAAAAUGCUAAAUGCUUUACACACCACUAUUGUAAUGAAUUUCAAAAUACAUGUCAAAAAAAAAAUAAAAGAGGUUAAAAAUUUGAUAGCUAAAAAUCACUAAAGGAAAAGCAUUACAAGAUGAAGUCAAAAUCUCCCACAACAUAAGGACAAAGACAGAAAGAUGGAAAAUGGGAAGGAAAGCCAAGGGAUGUAGAGGAUCAAAUCAGAGGACCCAACAUCUGACUGACAGGAAUUCCAUUAAGAAAGAACAGAGAAAGCCUAAGGAAAACACAUCAAAAUAAUAAAAGAAAAUGGCCCGGAGCCAACUGGAGAUGUAGUUUCCAGAUUACUUCAAGUACCACUCCGUUAAUAAGACCCGAACAUCAUUACAAAAUUUGAGGACCACACUUAAGAGAGAGCCCAAAAGUUUCAUGAAAGAAAAACAACACUGAAUCUAGAAAGAAAAUUCCAUUUUUUAAAAAGGCUUCUAUGUUCUUCUCCCAGGAAAAAUAAAAGCAGAGAUCCAACACUUCAGGGUUAAGAGACUAUAUAUGAAGGUUAGAGGCCACGUUUGAAGAAAAUGAAUGUUGUACAGCGUCAAUGAAUUGAUACAAGUAAAUAAGGAAUCUUCAUCUCAUCCCGUCCACAGAGAGGCCCAAGAAUCAUGAAAUUGGAAAAGAACGUAAUCAGACCAUCUUACUCGGUCCCUUAGUGGACAUUAUUUGCAUAGAUAGAGCAUAAACGCUGAUGAUUUUCAAUUUGUAAGUAUCCACCUAAAUAUGCAACACAGGAGACUCUGUAAUAGUUACAGAACAGAAUUGUCAACUUUAGCAAUUAGAAAAUAAAUGCAGCUUAAACAUUUCGGAAAGCAGGAUAUAAAGAGCUGGGGUAAAAGAUAAGGUGCCUGUAUAUUUUUCUCAUGGAGUGGAUUUUUUUCAAUAUGCUACUGUAAAGUCACCCAAAGAAACCAGAAGCAGAGUUGUAUUUUUUUUUUGAAGUGAUACACAAAUUAAAAAAUGUAUAUUAAGGAAGAUUAUAGGACACAGAGAUGUAUGUCGAAUGAAAAUGGUGAUGGGAUUGGGCUUUAUGUUCUUUGUUUCACAUGCGGUUCCAACCACUGUAUUAGUAGUUGGGAGUUAAAAAUCAAGCAAAAAGAAAACACAUGCUCUAUAUUAGUCUGCUUGCUAGAAGGCAUUUUUAAAAAACACACGAAAUACCACUUUCUGUGGUAGGAGACAGAAACUGUGGUAGUUAAUUUACAAGCCAGAUAAUACCAUUUUCAUCCUAAUAGAAUAUCCCACAAGUGCUUUCAGGGGAUCGUGAAGGCCCAUUUUGACAUGAGUUCAUCUUCAGAGUGCCUCUGCACUCCCCAUGUACCUUCUCAUUUCCAAGGAAUAGGACACUAAUGCAAUGACUCUGCGCCAGAGUCCUCUUCAAAAUGCUGGCUUUGAUGGAAAUGGAACAGUUUUCUCUUAGUAUCCUCUGGUUACCUGAAAGAGCUGGUAUCCCCCUAUUUUUUUUCCCCCAAACUCUUGUUCUUGACUAUAAAAGUCUUCCUUUAUUUCCAUCUACUUAUAUAUUUGAAGCACUUUUCUUCCAAAGACUCAGGCUGCUUUAAACAUAUCAUUUUGGCUGUCUUUGUGUGAAGAACUCAUUUUACAACUCCAUGAAGACUGCAAAGGUAAGCACCAUUAAUCCAAUUCUUAAGUGGAUAAACACUACGAGAAGUUAAAUAGUGACAAUAGUGACAUAGUGACGCUAGCGUCUUUAAGCAGGACCAAAAUCCUAUCUUCUAAUUUCUAGAUAACGUUGCUAUCUCAUCGCAUUUGAAUGAUAUUAGUUUAGAGGUUCACAAAUUCAGACCAAAACCGUUUCCACAAACAUGACCAUGGUGGACUUCUAGGCUUUAGCUAGCUUAAUUCGACCUAUUUGAAAAACUGAAAAACUUCAGAUUCAAAUUUAUAUAUUUAACUUCCUCUAGGUUUCUCUGAAAAGAAAACUGGGUAUUUUUCCAUUAACAUUUGAAGUGAAGUAGCUUUUGCAUUCAUACUGAAAAGAAAAUUAAAAGAGGGGGAAGCAGGAUCAGAGCAAUUAUCAUACUAUUUCUCAAAAGGCUUUUCCAUAAAUGUUCUGAGUGUAUCAUGAGCUCAUUAACACAUGAGGAAAGUAAACUUACACAGGGUCAGGAAAAGAGGAAAUUUUAGUCGUAAAAGUACAAGUAAUUGAAAAUAACUGCAUAUUCAAGUUUCAGCGCUUACACUGAGGUUCUAAUAUUGAGUAUUUGCCCUUCUCGAGAUUCUGAUGGUUACAAAAAAACAUCAAGGGAAAACAACAAAACCCAAAUGGAUGAUGGGUUUUUCCUUUAGGGGAGAAGUUUAUUGUAAACAGAAGUGGUGGUUGGGAAGAACAAAAGGGGGGGCUGAGAAAGUGCCUGGAAGGAGGCUCUCCUGCUAACUAUGCAUGAAGUCAUCUCGAGUGGUUGCACUGGCUGUCCCCAGCCUUGAAAGAAUCCUGAGUGCCUGGAGGAGUGGGUCUUCCCACUGGAAGAGCCAACCCACCCAAGUAGAAAGUGCAGCCUGGGAACUAGCCCCAGGAGAAGUGGGCCUGCUUACACUUCCUACCAGCAAGCAGGCAGGAAGCACUGUCAGCCUGACAAAGAGGCAAGCAGAAGCCAAGGCUAAAAGUAGACUGCAUUUCUGAGGUUCUAACAUUGAAAGAACGGAAACCAUAUGGGAAUUUAUUAUUCAACUGAAGCCUUCAGGUGGCUUUAAAUUAAAAGGAAUAUCGUCAACCACAUCCCUAGGCCUUUUUCUUCCCUUUCUCUACCCCCUCCUCUUCUUUUCAAAUUUUACAAGCCCUGUGAUUUAGCAGUGGAAAUUCCCUAAAUAUAAAUGAAGCAUUAUGUCCACCCAAGAAAUUCUUUCUGGUAUUCAGCCAGUAGUUUGGCAUUAAAAGCUCUCAUGUGAGUCUUGGGAGGAUAACUUUGUGUGUGUGUGUGCGUGUGUAUACACACUCUCAUUUUUCCUUCUUUAGAAUUAUUCUGCAUUAUGUAAAGAUGCUUGUUGAGAGGUCUACAUGUAGCAUCAGAAGGGAUGCAUGCUCCCUGAAGAAAUGCAACAACGACAUAGAAAUGCAGGCCAAUCCUCCAAGAGUAUAAACUGGCCACACGGUUUUCUCUAACAGUAGCUAUCGUGCUUACAGAUGUCCUACCACUGCCAUCUCACAACUGAGAACAUCCCUCCAUAACUCAAACAUCAACUCUAAAGAGAGAGUAAUGAUGAGUGCCAUCAACAGGGCAUGCUGACAACACUGCGGCAACUCAGUACCCCGAAUCCUGACUCCGAAUAACCGAAGCUUGCUUCGUGCUCAAGCUCCAAGUCUGACCUAGGUCAGAGGGUCUUUCCAUCAGGCCUCCUUCAAGACUGGACUGCGAAGGUUACCACUAAGGCAGGUGGAAGGGGAUGAAACUGAAUCCGGAGGUGACUAUUCAACACCAUCUGGGAAGUAUGAGAUGUGACCUCGGCUCACAUUUCCUUGGCAAAGGCCAGUCACCUGGUCAUGCUUAACCUCAGAAGAAGCAAGAAAGUGCAACUGCAGUAAAUGUCCCAAAAAGAGGGCCACGGACACAUGUGUGAGCAUCUGUGAUGAUGGCAGCUUGUCUAUUAAAAGAAUAUACAACCUUCUAGAGCCCAUAAAACUUAUCACUUGAUACGUGACAUAGAUCAUAGAUCCCAUCUUAUGUUUACUUCUAUUCCCGGUCCCCGAGGAACAGAAUGAGAGAGAUAGACAAGACGGACAGACAGACAGAGACAGAGAGACUGAACAAUGUAGCUAUGAUAGUUUCUACUCCUUUGGACCCUUAUGUCAAUUUGGCAGGUUAAGUAAAACAUUUCUUUCUACUGUUCAUAACAAAGAUAAUAAAAUAAAUGAUUGAUGCUAUGUAUAUUCUUCGAGUGCUUCCUGGAUUCUCUGUAGGACAGGACAGGGUGCUCAGUCUCCAGUAAGACGGUUAAAGACAGCAGUUCACAAAGAUAUAUGGAAGGAAAUUCCUUGCUAGUCAUUUAAAGAGGGCCAAGUGAAUAUUUCACUCACCUGCCCUUCAUGCGCAUGUAAAUAUUCUCCCUGAAACACUGAGAGACAGAGUAUUCAGGACAAACUAUUUUAAUAUAAAUAUGUCUCUCUUCACUUAGAACAUACAGACCAGUAAAGGAAUGUCUGCAUAAAUCUUGUUUUCCCAAGAAACAGUCCCAAAAAAUGUGUUAUCGCAGAGAGAAGCUGAAGGUCAAAUGGGAAGGAAUACAUUGAAGAGGAACCUUAUUUUCUCUAGUUCAGAAAUACAUUCCUUCUCUAGUACAUGAACCCUGCCCUGCACCCUGAACUUUUAAAUAGGGUGGAGUGAAGGAAACGUAUUGGAAAGAGACUGGGGAGGCUUUGAGUAAUGUUAGAAUACUGCUUACUGUUUACUAGAUACAUGGAGGGAGUUAAAUAAAAAAUUCAUGCCAAACAGUAUCGCUACAAGAGACCAGCUGUUCUUAUUUAUUCCAACAGACAUGGUUGCACAGGACUCCAAGCUCUGUUAUCCAGGCUCAGUGUAACUACUCCAGCAACAAUUGCCAGGGCUUUGAAGUAACUCAGGUCACAGAACAAGGCACUCAUUUUACAGAGAAAUGCUUAAGACCCUUUUUUUUUUUUUUUCUAAGAAGAACUCUAAAUUUUACCUGAAAGCUCUCAAAUUUGACCAUAAAAAAGUCGCGCCAUAAUGUAGGCUCAGCUCCUCAAUUAUGGUCCUUCUCCCCUCAUGCCCAAGGCUCACCAGCCACCCUCACCCCCACCUCGUCAAACUCCACGCUCAUCUUGGAGGACAGACACCAUCCCUUGAAACAGGACCAAAGGUUGAUGCUCCCAGCACAGCACUGGCCUUCAGCAGGAAAGCCUGAGUGAAGUCACUCCCUCCUCCCAGAGGGCCUCUGAGUACAGCCAGCUCACUGCAAAAUUGGUGAGCCCUCUCAUUUCUUCUUCCUUUUUGAUCAUCGUCAAUAAGCAACUAUGAGGAAGAUGCUCUAAAUACUCCUGGCAUUUAAGUACUGAAGAGGGCUACGAGUGCAAAAGCAACGACUUUGGUCACGAGUGACCUCUAACGAGGGUGUUCUAAGUGCCAGGCUGCGUGCUAAGAGCUUUAUCACCUCAUUUAAUCCUUAAGACAAUGCCAUCUAUGGAUCUCCUUCCAAAAAGUACAAUGCGGAGGGGCGGAGCCACUUUAUAAUGGAAAAGCCUGAAAACAUAAUCUCAGCCAGGUGAUCCAGGUCAACCUCAACAGUAAUAAGCCUUGUUAAUAGUAUAUACCCUUGAUAUAACAUGUUGAGGACAAUCUUUCAAAAACCCAUAACCCAGUUUAAUCAUGAGAAAAACAUCAGACAAAUCCCCAAUUAGGGACAUUCUACAAAAUACUGACUUUAACUCUUCAAAACUAUCAAGGUCAUCAAAAAAUGAGUCUAGAAACAGCC